GGCUCGGUGGUGGGUGGCCCACGUCUGCGUUCUGUUAUCAUGAUGAAGCGCGGUCGAUGCAGAAGGAGCUCGUUCGAUUCGGGCCCGAGCCA